rnacentral:rRNA from 1 species
UACGGAGGGUGCGAGCGUUGUCCGGAAUCACUGGGCGUAGAGGGCGCGUAGGCGGCCUGAUAAGUAGGGGGUGAAAUCCUGCGGCUUAACCGCAGGGCUGCCUUCUAAACUGUCGGGCUAGAGCACGGUAGAGGCAGAUGGAAUUCCCGGUGUAGCGGUGGAAUGCGUAGAGAUCGGGAAGAACAUCAGUGGCGAAGGCGGUCUGCUGGGCCGUUGCUGACGCUGAGGCGCGACAGCGUGGGGAGCAAACAGG